AUCUUUUGGUGUCCGGACAUGGCCUUGGCACUGUAGCAUGUGGACAGCCAGUGCCACGGAUUUCAGAACCCGCAUUGCCAGUUGACUGCCUGCUUUGUGCUACGUGCAGGCCUGCCGCGCCCUGAUGAUUGCUGCCUCGGUCCUGGGUCUGCCGGCCAUUUUACUGCUGCUGACUGUUCUUCCCUGCAUCCGGAUGGGCCAGGAGCCCGGUGUGGCUAAGUACAGGCGGGCCCAGCUGGCUGGUGUUUUGCUCAUUCUGCUGGCUCUCUGCGCCCUUGUUGCCACCAUCUGGUUCCCUGUGUGCGCCCACCGUGAGACCACCAUCGUGAGCUUUGGCUACUCCCUGUAUGCAGGCUGGAGUGCGGUGGUGUGAUCUCGGCUCAUGUAGCCUCAACCUCCCUGGCUCAAGUGAUCCUCCUGCCUCAGCCUCCCAAGUAGCUGGGACUACAGGCGUUCACUACUACACCCAGCUAAUUUUUAAGUUUUUUGUAGAGAUGAGGGCUCCCUAUGUUGCCCAGGUUGGUCUGGAACUCCUGGACUCAAAGUAUCCUCCCGCCUCGGCCUCCCAAAGUGUUGGGAUUAUAGGAGUGAGC
rnacentral:sRNA from 1 species